rnacentral:rRNA from 1 species
UCCUGGCUCAGAACGAACGCUGGCGGCGCGUUUAAGCAUGCAAGUCGAGCGGCAAGGGCCUUCGGGCCCCUAGAGCGGCGGACGGGUGAGUAACACGUGGACAAUCUGCCCCCCGGCCCGGGAUAGCCCAGGGAAACCUGGAUUAAUACCGGAUGAGACGGGACCCGCGAAGGCGGGACCCGGAAGGCGCUGCGGCGCCGCCGGGGGAUGAGUCUGCGUCCCAUUAGCUAGACGGCGGGGUAACGGCCCACCGUGGCGACGAUGGGUAGCCGGCCUGAGAGGGUGGACGGCCACAUUGGAACUGAGACACGGUCCAGACUCCUACGGGAGGCAGCAGCUAAGAAUCUUCCGCAAUGGGCGAAAGCCUGACGGAAGCGACGCCGCGUGAACGAAGAAGGCCGUGAGGUUGUAAAGUUCUUUUCGGGAGGGGGAACAACCGUGGCAGGGAAUGGCCGCGGGAUGACGUGAAUCCCGGAAUAAGCCCCGGCUAACUACGUGCCAGCCGCCGC